rnacentral:rRNA from 1 species
AGCGAACGCUAGCGGCGGGCCUAACACAUGCAAGUCGAGCGGAGGGAGCAAUCCUUCAGCGGCGGACGGGUGAGUAACGCGUAGGUAAUGUACCUUCUGGUGGGGAAUAACCGUGGGAAACCAUGGCUAAUACCGCAUAUCGUCCUUACGGAUGAAAGCCUUCGGGCGCCAGAAGAGCAGCCUGCGUCCCAUUAUUUAGUCCUAGUUGGUGAGGUAACGGCUCACCAAGGGUACGAUGGGUAGCUGGUCUGAGAGGAUGAUCAGCCACACUGGAACUGAGACACGGUCCAGACUCCUACGGGAGGCAGCAGUGGGGAAUAUUGCGCAAUGGGCGAAAGCCUGACGCAGCCACGCCGCGUGAGUGAUGAAGGCCU